rnacentral:lncRNA from 1 species
AAAACAAUUCCAUCCCAGCUGAAAUAAGAUGAAAACUUUUAAUUUCACUUUGUGGUAUCAAAAAUAGCUACAUUUUAUUCUGGAAGUGCACACUAUUUCCCCAUUUCUUGCCUGCAGCUAAUGACAUAUUCAUUUAAUAAAAGAAUCUGCAUGAUGGAUUUACGAAAUGUCAACUUCCUUUCCAGCUACCCCUCCCAGCACUGACUACCGGAGAAAUGUAUGUUAUUUAAAAGAAGUACAUCAGUCAUGGAAAUGGACUGACUGUAAGUCCUGGUCAAUACCUUGCAGCUUAUUAUACAGAAGAAAAGAAGUGUUUUUCAGCUUAAUUCCAACCUGGAUCUGAGGAACCUGGCUAAACUUUCUGGACAGGAUCCAAUUGAAAACAUGAAGAUUAAUUUACUUGACAUCCUGUGGUAAAUAUAACAAAAUAUAUUUUAAAAAUAUGUAUGUUUUCGCAUUGACUUCCAUAACGUUCCUGU